UACAGAGGUCUCAAGCGUUGUUCGGAUUCAUUGGGCGUAAAGGGUGCGUAGGUGGCAUGGUAAGUCGGAUGUGAAAUCCCGGGGCUCAACCCCGGAACUGCAUUCGAUACUGCUGAGCUAGAGUACUGGAGAGGAGAUUGGAAUUUACGGUGUAGCAGUGAAAUGCGUAGAUAUCGUAAGGAAGACCAGUGGCGAAGGCGGAUCGUCUGGACAGUUACUGACACUGAGGCACGAAGGCCAGGGGAGCGAAAACGGG
rnacentral:rRNA from 1 species